AUGUUUGAUUCUAACAAACGGAAAACAAGGUACUCAAGGUUUUUACAGUCCAGUAGUGGGUUGUGAACUUCAGCGUCCCAGCUCUUCAGAGAGAAGCCGGUUCUCAAAGUGGGCUGGUCUUUGAAUAUCUGUACUGACUGUGAACACCUCUCUGACUGACAGGACAGAUAACUGCAGCUGAGCAGGGUCAUAAAUAUAUAAAGUAACCUGAGCAAACAUAACAUGCACUGGUGUUACAGCUGUAGGAACCACAUGGACCCCUCUGAAACCACUAGAAAACCAAUGUUACCAGUACAAAUCUGUUGGCACCGACUGAGACCAGUAGAAACCUCUGCCAAGACCAACUAGUCCAAAGGGAGGAGUCAGAGGCUGGUCUGGAGGAUCGUGAUGGAGAUGCAGGAGCUCUGCGACUGGAGACGACACAACAGACGACAGACAGACAGAGAGACAGACGUGACAUCUUCUUCUGGCCUGAGACACUGAACACCUGGAAACAUCUCGACCCACAGUCAUGCUGCAUUCAGGUCAUGUUACAGCAUGGGAAAUCACAGUUUACAG